UCCGGUUUGUCACCGGCAGUCAUCCUAGAGUGCCCAUCUUUCAUGCUGGCAACUAAGAUCAAGGGUUGCGCUCGUUGCGGGACUUAACCCAACAUCUCACGACACGAGCUGACGACAACCAUGCACCACCUGUCUCCUUUGUCCCGAAGGCCUGACCUAUCUCUAGGCCGUUCAAAGGGAUGUCAAGACCUGGUAAGGUUCUUCGCGUUGCUUCGAAUUAAACCACAUGCUCCACUGCUUGUGCGGGUCCCCGUCAAUUCCUUUGAGUUUCAGUCUUGCGACCGUACUCCCCAGGCGGAAUGCUUAAUGUGUUAACUUCGGCACUAAGGGCAUUGAAACCCCUAACACCUAGCAUUCAUCGUUUACGGCGUGGACUAC
rnacentral:misc_RNA from 1 species